rnacentral:lncRNA from 1 species
GAAUGAGCGCGCCUGCGCAAUGGCCGCUCAGGCUGCUCUUCCCUAGCGGGCGGCUCUUAGCUUUGUAUUCCAGCCCUGGAAGGCAGCGUGAGAAGGGUUGAUUUUUAUUGUUUUUUGUUUGUUUUUGUUUUUGUUUUUUGUUUUUUGUCGCCUUUGCUCCCGGCUCAUAGUUUCCCCACCAAUGGGCCUUCAAAACCUACUGCUGCUACUACGAACUUAGGCAGUCACUAUGUCGGCUCUAUGAUGUCCGUUCUUGCACUAGAACCUUCCCUGAGCGACUGAGGUAACCGCGCCCUCGCGGGCUGAGUGUUGUGGCUCGAGCGUGUUAAGGGGCUUGGGAGCCGCCCGCGAUUCCUAUUGCGCAUGUGUGGGAGGGUUUCCCUGACAGUGAGGGAAACCUGGUGGAGGUGGGAGGAGUGCUGACCCAUUGGCCUUCUGUCCAUUGGCUUGUGCCCACCUGCUCUCUGAUUUGGGCCUGUGUCUGCGGCCCUUGACGGCUCUAUGUUCCCAUCCUACCUGUGCGCGUUGGGCAAGUAUUUACCCUGCCUGGAGUUUCGUGACCAUCUGUCGUGAAAGACCGACCAGUUAGGCUCACUGACCCAAGAUGAGCCUUCUGGUCCCAUCCUGGUUCACUUAAGAGUCAUUAGCUGUGAUUCAACUAUUUGCACUGAGGUCGCUUCUGUAAAAGAAUCGUUCCCAGUGAGCUCUUUUUCUGCUCUGAAAGGAAAGGCCAUUCCAAAAUUCAUUCCUUGUGGACCAAAGUUAAUACGAAUAAACUGCUUUUCUGCAGUCCCAAACUGUCAGUUACACAUUUCCUAACUUAUUUCCAAUCUGGCCAUCCCCUCUCUGUCUUGAGACUUGCCUCUCCUAUCAGAUGUUGGCAGUAUGGUUUGUUUCCUUUAAGUCCUCUCUGUUGUCCUCGGCUGUCUUCCGUCUGCUGUAGUUGUGGCCAGACUUCUACAGGUUUCCUUUUCUAUUCUUCACAGUCUUCAGUCUUUGCAUUGUGUUUAAUCCUUAGGUCUGCCGACGGGGCUGCUCAUGAAAGUGAUCUUCUUAAGGCAAUUAAAAACCCGUGGAAUGGAAAGAAAAUGCUCCAGGCGCCCUGGGUUAGGCCCACCAACGCUGUACACAUUCCUGCUAGGCAUUAUAUUCAUUACUCUAAGUUCAAGUCGAAUCUUACUGGUAAAAUACUCUGCCAAUGAAGGUGAGUUAAAAUGGAAAUGUGUAUGGGGUGCUUUUAAUCAUUUGCCUGGUGUUCUUAUGAAUAAAUUAUACGUGAUGCCUUUUAAAGU